UCUCUCUUCUUCUUUCUUAAGUCUCUCACUUUCUUGAAAUUCAAUUUUUCUCACUCUUUUUUUGUUAAAGAUUACAGUCCAUAGAUUGAUAAUGACGAUUAUAUCAAAUACGCUUUCAUUGAAGCAUGGGCUCUCAAUGUAGUGUCCACAGUCAAUUCCCUCGAAUCGAAUUCAUCAGGGUUCAUGUUCAUUUCCUUCCAGAAGCUUCCGUAAAUGCUUCACUAUCUCUGCUUCCUCUUUCGCCAACGAAAAUCGGGAGUUUGGCAUAGUAGCAGGUGGAAAUGCAGCAGGAUAUGCGGCUAGAACUUUUGUCGAGCACGGAUUGGCUAAUGGAAAGCUUUGCAUUGUCUCCAAAGAGGUAAUUUCAGAUUUUUUAGUUUGGUUGAAUUAAUAUUUGUACUCUUAUUUGAUUGAUAAUCAUAGUAAAAUUUCUUGAAAAAAAAAAAAAAACAAUUUGGAGAGGGAAUGAAAAGUGCCCACAUUGUUGAGUUUCUUUACAAUGGCAAAAAUGUUAAGGAUAUUUUCAUAGUAUCUUCUUACCUUUCAGAAAAAAAAAAUGAAAAAGAAAAAAUUCAUAAUAUUCUUCUUACAUCCUUCUCUUCACUGAUUCUCUUCUGUUUCUGUUACAUUUUAUUGAAUGAGAAAUCUCCAUAAAAGGAGAGGAUGAAUUACUCCAUUAAAGGAGGAAAAUUACACUCCAAAAUAGGAGGAAAUGCACUCCAAAGAAGGAGGGAAAAUAAACCUCCAUGAAAGGGAGGGAUUGGAAGAAGAAAUUCCAAUCAGCUACAAUGCGUACAAGGCUUGUAUUUAUAGACAAGAAGACUAGCUAUCUAACUACUAACAUAACUACCAACUAAUUAACAACUGUAGGAAGAAUCUGUGGAAGCUGGAGACAGCUAGGAGAAUCCGUGUGAGAUAAAUCUGGUCCGUUCAAUCUGGAGUGGAAUCUGGUUGAGGUUAAUUUGGUGCAAUUCUAAUAGUUUCCGCAUUCUUUCAGUUUCUCCCAUUGUAAAACUACCGCGUUCUUUCAGUUGCUCCCAUUGUAAAAUCCUGCCAGAUAGAAAAUGAGAGGUGGAGAGGGGGAAGUGGGUUUGUAAUAUAGGGAUGACUCAGAGAAUUGAGUUUUGAAACGACAGAUGUGAACGAUAAUGAUACAACAAGUUCACAUAAUCUUCAGUGUACUCUCCAAACUUGUUGAGCUUGUCGAUAAACUGAAUUAAAUGAAUAAUCUCCAUUGUACUCACUGAGCUUGUAAACGGAAGAUCCGCUAAAUUUAAGUUUCAAUGAUUUGAUAGUAGAAGAAAUUUUACCAAUAAUAUUAGUAGGGUGUUUGGUGGGGAUAAAAUUAGAUUUUUUAGUAGAUUGAUAUAGAAGUUUUUGAAAUGUGUGAUUGAAAGUUACGGGACCCAUGAAAGAUAUGAUUAAUAUUAAUUGUUUAAAUUAAAAUUAAAUUUUAGUCCAAAUCAAACGGGCUGACGAACAUAUGUAUGAUUCUAUUUGCAAAUUAGUAGGUUGUAGCUUCAAUAAGGUGAUGCAACCAUUAAAGUAAUGUUAUUAAUUGUUGUUUCUGUUUUGUUUAUGACUUCCAUUUUCUCAUGAGCCUUUCCUUUAUUAGAACAACUACAAUGUGAGUUUUUUUUUUUUUAAAUAUUAUUUUGUGAACAAGUUAUUUAGUCAUUUUCCUGUACAUUAUAGGUUCAUUUCAUCCCAUCAAGACUCCAAACCACCCAUCAUCCAUUUUUUUGUGUGUGUGUCUACAUUGAAUAUGUUUUAAUGUUCGACUUAAUCAUCAUGUUUGUGUCUGUAGUGGACACGUUUAAUUGUUUGACUUAGUCAUCAUGUUUGUGACUAUAUUGGACAUGUUUUAAUGUUUAA